UUGAACGCGUCGAGCUUAUCCGACCUCCAAUGCCGAGAAACGAUGCCGUUUCUAGCCAUAGCGAAACACAGAGGAGGUUCAGUUUGGGUUUAAUUUGGUUGAAGCAGAGGCUGAAAACAAGGCCUGUUUGGGUAUUGAGGCCUUAAUAACGCUGAGAUUCUGAAAUCCACUUUGGUGCGAUCUCCAAAUCAAAGUGAAAGGCAUACGAUUACGAUUGCGAUGACGAUAAUGAAGAAAAGAAAAGCCAAAAUAUCGCGGGAAGACGAGAUAUUGAUGGGUAAAGGUCUUGGGAUGCGAGCGAGUGAUUGGUCGGGAUCGAGGAGAGGAGGGAGGCAGUUGACCGGAGGUCAAUGGAGGACCGCGCCGUCAAAUCCGAAUAGGGAAAUGACAGACACGGAACCCCAACCGACGGCAUCAAAAAGACGGAGAAAGGUUUGCCCUCUUUUUAUUUUUAAAAUUUUUGCCGGUGGAUUUAUUACUGCUUAGACUAUUUCAACUGUUUAUAAAAUUUUAUAAUUUGGGUGAACGAGUGAUGCGUUGUUGAGCAGAGUUGGUUUGGUAUAAUAAAGACACGGCAGCUGUACCUCUUGCUGUUCUUGUA